UGUUCUUAUGCUUCCUGAUAUAACUGAGUUACCAUCACAAAUCAUGCCUGGAACACAGAAAAUCGAUGGUAUACUUCCACGAGUGAUCCCUUUCAGAAAAUAUUAGUGAUGGUGGCCCUUGUUCAGGGUUACUCCACAUUGAGCUCGGGUUUACCCAGAAUAAUGCUGAAAACAAACAAACAAAUCCAAACAGGAGGGAAGAGAAAGAGAAUCUUGAUCAAAGAGGAGAAUAAGUUUUUAGAAUAAAACUCUUUUUUGGGGGAAGGUAAAAGGAAACAAAAGUAUAUAUUUGCUUUUCGUUCCCCAGGAGCUGUGAUCACAGCUACGCUUAGCAUCAUCACACCAUUAACCACUUCGAGGCUUUAGAACCUGUUAGGCGUGUGCUACCAGCUCCCUGAUGCAGGCUGCUGUUGUCGUGGUGAGUCAGAAGAGUGAGUCACUGGCUUUGUGUACUGUGUGACACUUUGAAGGCAUUUGAAGGAAAUAUUUAGUGUCACCUGAUAGUUUCACUCUCUCAUCUGCUAGAGAAAUCUUAAAGUUCCCAACUCACUCUCAUGCUGUUUAUUUGAGCACGUCUUGUCACUUCGUACAAGAGAUGAGGUUUGGAAAAGCUGUGUGGAAAUCCAGUUCACCUGAAGUAGGUCAUCUUUCAAAAGUGCUUGGGAGAUCUUGGUCCUUAAAGGAUUUCUGAGGUGAAUCCUUUUAGAAAGUAAAGAGCACUUCAUUGAUUCAAGAGAGCUUGACAGAGAUGUUCUUAUUGAGGUUACGAUAUGCUCAGGAAGCCUUUCUCUCUACAGUAGGAGAUGAUAAGUUGUGAGGCACAACUACAGGAGGGAGAAGAAACCCCUCUAUCUCUUUAGCUUUAAUUGGAAGAAAAUCCCUGAGGAACUUUUAUGGCGGUUAGCUGAUUUACAUGGAGAAAGGGAUGAAGCCAGGUCCACAGAGGGUGUGCUUAAAGACCUACGCUAGAUUGGCAGCUUAACGUCCUUUUCUCUAAUUAAAUUGGGAAUAAUCUGAUUUCUUUCCUCAUAUUGAAGAUUAAAGAUCUAAGAAGUGGUUCUUUCAAAAGGCUUUUGAUAUGAAGGUGCCUUGAAGCCUCAAGAUAUUCGGGGACCAUGAAUAAACCUCAACGAUUCUGGGUUCAGGCAGAUUGUCCCAGGAAAUCCGGGGGACAGGAUUAUGGUUAAAUUAAGCAGUGACAGAUAACAGUUGAAGAGGAAUGAGAAAGGUAAUAUACUAAAGUGUACUUAGUGGUUUAUGUGGUACAGUGAACUCCCUAAGGAGUAAAUUACCUCUACCAAGGUUCUUGGAAACUUAGUCUUGGCUACCUAGAGUACUGACAGGUGAAGUGACCUGCCCCAGAGUCACACAGCCAAUGAGAGGUGGAACUUAGACCCAGCCCAUCCUUACUCUGAUACUGGCUCUCUAUCAGCGAGGCCACACUGUCUCUAAACUUGCAUUAUCUUUAAAAAUAUACAGUCAAGAUUCAUUUGGAAAAACAGAAGG